rnacentral:rRNA from 1 species
UGAAACCGUUUAGGGGUAAACCUGAGAAACCCGAAAGGUCGAAGGGAGAAAUUCAAUGUCGUUUCGACGCGGACGGCGAGCGAUCGCGUGACGGGAGACGACGACGUCGCGUUCUGCGCGGCGCUCUCGAUUUCCGCACCUUUCGUUCGUUCGAUUUCGCGACGAACGCGUGCACUUUUCUUCCGGUAGGACGUCGCGAUCCGUUGGGCGUCGGUCUAAGGGCGUGCGGUGGAGCCCGUUCGUAUAUUUUAUAAACGAACGGACCCGCGCGUUCCCGGCCGACUCGCUCGACGGUAUAAUACACGAACGGUUCGGGGUCGCUUUUUAAAAGCGUUCGACUCGCGGCAAGCGCGCCGAAUGUAGUCGGUGAUCGGACUCAGUGCCGGUUCCGACCUUCGGUGACUGUUGGCAGCGAAGUUCUCGGACAGAUCUCCGCGUCCGUUCUUCGGAAUGGGCGUUUUCAAAACCGAUCGGCGACGCUAUAGCUUUGGGUACUUUCAGGACCCGUCUUGAAACACGGACCAAGGAGUCUAGCAUGUACGCGAGUCAUUGGGAUCGUACUAAACCUAAAGGCGUAAUGAAAGUAAAGAUUUUCCUCGCGAAAAUCGUGGGAAGACGGGCGGUUUUCUGUCGCUAAUAACGGCGGCCGCCUCGCAUUCCCGGGGCGUCUCGUUCUCAUCGCGAGAAGAGGCGCACCACGAGCGUACACGCUGGGACCCGAAAGAUGGUGAACUAUGCCUGGUCAGGACGAA